rnacentral:rRNA from 1 species
CGACGUAAAGAACUUGCCUCACAGCUAGGGACAACAUUUAGAAAUGAAUGCUAAUACCUGAUAUUAUGAUUUUAAGGCAUCUUAGAAUUAUGAAAGCUAUAAGCACUGUGAGAGAGCUUUGCGUCCCAUUAGCUAGUUGGAGAGGUAACAGCUCACCAAGGCGAUGAUAGGUAGCCGGCCUGAGAGGGUGAACGGCCACAAGGGGACUGAGACACGGCCCUU